rnacentral:misc_RNA from 1 species
UACGUAGGUGGCAAGCGUUGUCCGGAAUCAUUGGGCGUAAAGCGCGCGUAGGCGGCCCGGUAAGUCCGCUCUGAAAGUCCAGGGCUCAACCCUGGAAAGCGGGUGGAUACUGCCGGGCUAGAAUCCGGAAGAGGCGAGUGGAAUUCCUGGUGUAGCGGUGGAAUGCGCAGAUAUCAGGAGGAACACCAAUAGCGAAGGCAGCUCGCUGGGACGGUAUUGACGCUAAGGCGCGAAAGCGUGGGGAGCGAACAGG